UGAAUCUGAUCUUCUCACUCC
rnacentral:piRNA from 1 species